rnacentral:siRNA from 1 species
GUAGACGCUCAGAAAUUAGGUGU